rnacentral:rRNA from 1 species
UACGUAGGGUCCAAGCGUUAAUCGGAAUUACUGGGCGUAAAGCGUGCGCAGGCGGUUUUAUAAGCCCGAUGUGAAAUCCCCGGGCUUAACCUGGGAAUGGCAUUUGGGACUGUAAGGCUAGAGUACGGCAGAGGGGACUAGAAUUCCUGGUGUAGCAGUGAAAUGCGUAGAUAUCAGGAGGAAUACCGAUGGCGAAGGCAGGUCCCUGGGUCGAUACUGACGCUCAUGCACGAAAGCGUGGGGAGCAAACAGG